AAGUCGAACGGUGAAGGGGAGCUUGCUCCUUGGAUCAGUGGCGAACGGGUGAGUAACACGUGAGCAAUCUGCCCUUGACUCUGGGAUAACUGCGGGAAACUGUAGCUAAUACCGGAUAUUACCUUGGAAGGCAUCUUCUGGGGUGGAAAGAAUUUUGGUCAAGGAUGAGCUCGCGGCCUAUCAGCUAGUUGGUGAGGUAAUGGCUCACCAAGGCGACGACGGGUAGCCGGCCUGAGAGGGUGACCGGCCACACUGGGACUGAGACACGGCCCAGACUCCUACGGGAGGCAGCAGUGGGGAAUAUUGCACAAUGGGCGCAAGCCUGAUGCAGCAACGCCGCGUGAGGGACGACGGCCUUCGGGUUGUAAACCUCUUUUAGUAGGGAAGAAGCGACUGGGUUUUCCUGGGAGUGACGGUACCUGCAGAAAAAGCACCGGCUAACUACGUGCCAGCAGCCGCGGUAAUACGUAGGGUGCAAGCGUUGUCCGGAAUUAUUGGGCGUAAAGAGCUCGUAGGCGGUUUGUCGCGUCUGCUGUGAAAACCCGAGGCUCAACCUCGGGCCUGCAGUGGGUACGGGCAGACUAGAGUGCGGUAGGGGAGAUUGGAAUUCCUGGUGUAGCGGUGGAAUGCGCAGAUAUCAGGAGGAACACCAAUGGCGAAGGCAGAUCUCUGGGCCGUAACUGACGCUGAGGAGCGAAAGCAUGGGGAGCGAACAGGAUUAGAUACCCUGGUAGUCCAUGCCGUAAACGUUGGGAACUAGAUGUGGGGACCAUUCCACGGUCUCCGUGUCGCAGCUAACGCAUUAAGUUCCCCGCCUGGGGAGUACGGCCGCAAGGCUAAAACUCAAAGGAAUUGACGGGGGCCCGCACAAGCGGCGGAGCAUGCGGAUUAAUUCGAUGCAACGCGAAGAACCUUACCAAGGCUUGACAUAUACCGGUAACGCCUGGAAACAGGUGCCCCGCAAGGUCGGUAUACAGGUGGUGCAUGGUUGUCGUCAGCUCGUGUCGUGAGAUGUUGGGUUAAGUCCCGCAACGAGCGCAACCCUCGUCCUAUGUUGCCAGCACGUAAUGGUGGGAACUCAUGGGAUACUGCCGGGGUCAACUCGGAGGAAGGUGGGGAUGACGUCAAAUCAUCAUGCCCCUUAUGUCUUGGGCUUCACGCAUGCUACAAUGGCCGGUACAAAGGGCUGCGAUACCGCAAGGUGGAGCGAAUCCCAAAAAGCCGGUCUCAGUUCGGAUUGAGGUCUGCAACUCGACCUCAUGAAGUCGGAGUCGCUAGUAAUCGCAGAUCAGCAACGCUGCGGUGAAUACGUUCCCGGGCCUUGUACACACCGCCCGUCAAGUCAUGAAAGUCGGUAACACCCGAAGCCAGUGGCCGAACCCGUAAGGGACGGA
rnacentral:rRNA from 1 species